GUUCCUGUAGCGCAAUGGAUACCGCGUUGGACUUCAAAUCCAAAGGGCGUGGGUUCGAAUCCCACCUAAUUUCUGGGAAUG